UAUUGUGAACUGGGUUGUAGGAGGCAAAAGCGAUCAGACCGCCGAAGGCUAGGCCCAAAGAGAAAAAGAUCUGUGUUCCAGCUUCUAGCCAUACCACAGGAUCAGCUAACUUGGACCACUGAAGAAUAAAGUAUUCAGACCUUAGAUGGCCAGGGUUUGCUUUCGACACUUCAUCUGCUUGGUAAAAUAUGGAUCUUAUUGGAUUGAAUUAGAUGAAAAUGAUAUUAAUUUAGCUUUGAUAAUGAAAAGUUUAAAGCAACAGAUUCACAACUGAAACUUACUUUCCCUGAUGAAGCUAUUCCUUUGGCCAUACACAAGUAGCAAAAGAACCAUGCAAGCAGGAGACAAAGAGCUAUUCUCCAGUUGAACUUUUCCGGA